ACUGUCCUUACGGGUGAAUACGGGCGUCUGCAGGUAGAAAAUGGUCUAACCUCUAUGGAAAACACAAUAAAUAUCAAAGUCAUAGACUGCUGAGUGAACCUGUAGAGAGAAAAUGUUCUUGAACAUGUUUAUCUAUGGGUUUGCUGCGGGCGACCGGUCGUAGUGAACACUUCUAGGACAUGUAUGGGUAAGUAAGGGUCAGUGUUAGCACGGGUAAAACUGUCCCGGUUCUGCCACCAACAGCGCAUGCUACGGCGGCGUGUCUCCACUUUCUUUCUGCUGCUGGGUUUCCUGUGCGGUCCACCAACAAACACUGUCAUCAGUUCCCUCUCAAUGGGGACGCUUGAGUUUAGUGCUGGUAAACACUGGUGUCAUGGAUUCUGAGAGAUGGGGGGUCACCGUAUCCCCCCUCUUUUUAACCUUGUAAAUGUCUCUUGUAUUUUUCUUCUCCCUUCGCCCCCCCGUCCCUCCACCCCUCUAGUCGGACUCUUUGCUCAUGAUAUGCCACAGAGAGACACAAUUAUCCACUUCAUUUGAGUCGUGGUGCUAAUGGCGGCCUCUUGGGGAGGUGGGUGAUAGGUAGCAGUAAUUGUAAAUGGUGUAAUGAGUGUGGAACGGCCACAGUGGAGCGCUCCACCAUUACAGGUGAACUCACCCCCCCAACAACAAGUAAGCACCCCUCCCCUCUGUUCUCCUUCAGGGUUGAGCAGAGACACAGGAAAUAUUAGCCUCACAGACCAUUACUCCCGAGUGGCUCGGCUGCUGCGCCUUCGUGCCUCGUUGUGCAGAUGGCCUUCUCACCUCUCAGCCACGCUUUUUUUCGGGUUGUUUUGCUUCGCCUCGCUAAAAAGAUGUCACUGCUUUGUGUCCUAAACAUACAGGAAGCCUCGCUGGAGGACGCUGGCGUGAUGGACGUCCUGACAUCUGGGACGACAUCCAGCCUGGGUGAUGCUAAAGAGGGCGAGGCGGCUAUAGGACCGGCUCGGUUGGACGGACGGACGGACAGAUGGUGUGUUUUGGAUUUUGGCCCCUGUGUGACUGAGUUUGAUCCCCCUCCCUCUCCUUCCUGCCGGUGACAUCACCGCACCUGCACACAGACAGUGAGGACUGGAGGAGACCGUCCGGAGUGGAGAACGAUGGUGACCCGUUCAUGAGAGACGGUGAAGGAACGGCGAGGAAGACUGCUGGACUGAACGACCUCUGAACUCUGUGUCGGGGCGUCUCAGACCAAAAGAUGUUUCAGGGAUUUCACACAAAAGUUUGGUUUUUCUGAACUCUGAAUCCUUAAUCUGCCUGAAAUCUGCUUUACUUGCAGGUGAACUCUGCUGUGGGUCAUCCCAGUGUGAAUGUGGUCUGAUUCCCUAAGAACACAGAGCAAAGGAUGGUGUGCAUUAUGAAAAGAGACCUAAAGAAAAACAAAAAUUUAGAAAACGUCUGUGUUUACUUUAUAGAAGGAAACUGAAUGGUGGUGUAGUGGUUCGCCUAUCUCCUCAAAAAGAGAAGAUUCUGGUUCGAAUCCCGGCUGGGUCCUUUCUCCAGAGUCUCCAGUCUCCUCCCUCAGUCCAAACACACUGAGUUAGGGUUUCUAAGGUUGCAUCUAAGUGUGUGAAUGUGUGACCCUUUAAACCCCGCCUUCUUCCAAUGGUAGUUGGGAUAGGCUCCAGCAACCCAAAUAUUCCAAUAGGGAUUCAGCAGAUUCAGAAAAUGAAUGAAUGGACAGACGAACGGAUGGAUUUGUUUUAAAAAAUUUAAGUACAAAAUACUUUAACUCAAUAGCUUAAAUAUAACAAACCUGAAUUAACUUUACUAAAUAUGAUUCACUUUUUUUGUGUAAAAAAUAUCUUUACAAAAAUAUUUUUCUAGUGUAAAAACAUUGUAUUUCACGAGAGCUAUUUAUCCUAAAAUAUUAAACUUAAU